rnacentral:SRP_RNA from 2 species
UUGCAGGCUAGGCCGGGGAGCCAGGGGUUCCUUGUAAUCGCAAAUCCCCUUCAGGCGAGGCUGAAAUCCGGGUGAGGCAUGCUCUGGCACUGUCUUGCCAUGGUUCGGAGCGUCGAACUCAUGCCUGCCUUGAUUGCCGUAGUAUCAAACCGGGUCAGGCCGGAAGGAGCAGCCCUAAGGUAAUAUGCGUAAUGCUUGGCAGAUACAUGGGGGAGCCGAGAGCCAUGGCUGGCAUUGUUUUUGCAUGUCCAGCCCGGGGGCCUGCAC